rnacentral:rRNA from 1 species
UUCGGGGUACUCGAGUGGCGAACGGGUGAGUAACACGUGGGUGAUCUGCCCUGCACUUUGGGAUAAGCCUGGGAAACUGGGUCUAAUACCGAAUAGGACCACGCGCUUCAUGGUGUGUGGUGGAAAGCUUUUGCGGUGUGGGAUGGGCCCGCGGCCUAUCAGCUUGUUGGUGGGGUAAUGGCCUACCAAGGCGACGACGGGUAGCCGGCCUGAGAGGGUGACCGGCCACACUGGGACUGAGAUACGGCCCAGACUCCUACGGGAGGCAGCAGUGGGGAAUAUUGCACAAUGGGCGCAAGCCUGAUGCAGCGACGCCGCGUGAGGGAUGACGGCCUUUCGGGUUGUAAACCUCUUUCAAUAGGGACGAAGCGCAAGUGACGGUACCUAUAGAAGAAGCACCGGCCAACUACGUGCCAGCAGCCGCGGUAAUACGUAGGGUGCGAGCGUUGUCCGGAAUUACUGGGCGUAAAGAGCUCGUAGGUGGUUUGUCGCGUUGUUCGUGAAAACUCACAGCUUAACUGUGGGCGUGCGGGCGAUACGGGCAGACUAGAGUACUGCAGGGGAGACUGGAAUUCCUGGUGUAGCGGUGGAAUGCGCAGAUAUCAGGAGGAACACCGGUGGCGAAGGCGGGUCUCUGGGCAGUAACUGACGCUGAGGAGCGAAAGCGUGGGGAGCGAACAGGAUUAGAUACCCUGGUAGUCCACGCCGUAAACGGUGGGUACUAGGUGUGGGUUCCUUCCUUGGGAUCCGUGCCGUAGCUAACGCAUUAAGUACCCCGCCUGGGGAGUACGGCCGCAAGGCUAAAACUCAAAGGAAUUGACGGGGGCCCGCACAAGCGGCGGAGCAUGUGGAUUAAUUCGAUGCAACGCGAAGAACCUUACCUGGGUUUGACAUGCACAGGACGCCGGCAGAGAUGUCGGUUCCCUUGUGGCCUGUGUGCAGGUGGUGCAUGGCUGUCGUCAGCUCGUGUCGUGAGAUGUUGGGUUAAGUCCCGCAACGAGCGCAACCCUUGUCCUAUGUUGCCAGCGGGUUAUGCCGGGGACUCGUAGGAGACUGCCGGGGUCAACUCGGAGGAAGGUGGGGAUGACGUCAAGUCAUCAUGCCCCUUAUGUCCAGGGCUUCACACAUGCUACAAUGGCCGGUACAAAGGGCUGCGAUGCCGUGAGGUGGAGCGAAUCCUUUCAAGCAGCCGGUCUCAGUUCGGCUCGGGGUCUGCAACCCCUCGACCCCGUGAAGUCGGAGUCGCUAGUAAUCGCAGAUCAGCAACGCUGCGGUGAAUACGUUCCCGGGCCUUGUACACACCG